AGCCACAAGGACGGUUCCAGUUCGCACUUAACGACCGAAAUCCUCCUUCCCUCUUUCCCAAGCCCCCUUCCCUUUUGUUUCCUUGAGCCCACGUACCAAUCACGAAACCCUAACUAUAAAAAAGCCCUCGCCCGGGUAGCGGUAGCGGGAGCCCAGUUCUCCCUGCUCAGGGCUCCAGCCUGUGGGCUUUAACUCCGCUGUCCCAACAGGAAGGCAUUUUUUUUUUUCAGCCUCUCCCUUAGCCGCCUAAGGGAUUCCCGUAAAGGACCUGUUCCUGGAAAAGAACUACCGCCAGAGAGAUUUGCCAGAAAUGUGGGCUCGGUGUGGCCAGGGGAGAUACGCCUCAGGUCAUUGGAUGGGGAUGGGGGAGGCCUGCCUUCAGGUUCACACCCAGGGCAGGAGUUCGAGGACUGCCCUCCUGCUGAUUUGAAUAAACACCGGAACCGGAUACCAAGGAGGAGCUGCUACUCAAGAAAGAGGAAGAGGCGGGCUUUUCCGACCCCCACGCCCCUGGGAUGGUAAAGCUGCAGCCCACCUCGUCCUGGGGCAGAGUCUCCUUGCCUGCCUGCUUGCAUCGCUCACCAGCGUCCUAUCCUAACACCUCUGUUUCGUGCCCAUCACUUUGUCUCUCGCUGAAUUCCUUCUGCGUGGAGACAUAGAGAACCUCAACCUCAGUGAGUCCAGACGCAGGAGGAGAGCGUUUCCCAGACUCCUUGCCCCUGAGUGAGGAUACGUGCCUGGUUCUGGCCAAGGGGCUGUGGCUGAUACAGCAGGUGUCACUCUGAGUCAAAGCAAAGGAUGUGCAGACAUGAAGUCUCCACGCUCUCUCUUCUUCUCCCCUUGUCUCAAGGUGUCAGAGGCACCAGCUUAUGAGGGAUGUAUGAUUGUCAGCACCUCCACUUUACAGAAGAGGACACCUGGGUAUGAUGAUAAGCUGCCCAAGGUCCCAUAUCUGGUGCUUCAUAAUCCUGGCAAAGCCACUAAGCUGAGCAGAGCUGCAGAAAUUCCCUGGCUUUCCUGCUGGAAGAUGUCGAUCAAUGAGGGCGCUCGCGGCCUUUGAUGUCAGGCAUCCACGCCCGCUUCUGUAAAGACUCUCGGCUCCACAAGAGAACGGGAAGUCACUGUGAAGAAAGAGGCAGGCGAUGUAACCGGAAAAGCGCGGGUUUGAUGUCAAACAGACCUGCGUGGUUCCACCGCUUUCCGACUGUGUGACACCUCCCUCCCCCACCCCCGGCCCAGUUGCUCUCUGAACCCAAGUCUUGGAAAAUGGAACCAAUAAUACCUGUUCUUCAAGACUGUUCCUGCUGGAAGCUCCAAGAUUCAUCUGAAGGCGUGAUCACAUCCUCAAUGUUGAGUGGACUAUGAACCGGCUGCCAGAGACAGGGUUCCAAGCCGGGCCAGGCCCAUCCCAAUGCCCACCCGAAAAGACGGGACAGAGGAAAGAAAGAAACAAAAUCCUGGGGCUCCAUUGGCUUUCUUUUUGACUCCAGCUGAAGUUGCUGCAUAGUGUGGCCUUGCCAGUCCUCGCCUUGAAAAAUGAGCGGAGCUCCUUUCUUUAUGAACUUUGGUGACGUGGCAUUAUGAUGUUACGGCAGAAGAGAUUAAUAACAGCGCCUCGUUUCUGUUCCGCCACCAUUAGAGGGCUGGAAGCGACUGCCGUGAUGGAUCAUCUAAUCCCACAGCCUCAUUCUGCAGAGGACCCCGAGCCUCGACUUGGCCAAGGGCCACACCCAUGGCGUAUGGUUUUCACAUGGAAUCGGAGCUGCAGUUGCCGGCCUAUGCCACAGCCACAGCAAGGUAGGAUCUGAGCCAAGUCUUUGACCUACACCACAUCUCACGGCAAUUCCAGAUCCCUGGACCCACUGAGUGAGGCCAGGGAUUGAACACGCACCCUUAUGGAUACUAGUUGGAUCACAACGGAACUCCCUGAAAAAUCAAGGUCUUUAAAGCAAUUCAUCAACCCCACCAACAUCUUGGCAUAAGAAAAUUGAUUCUGUAAGUCAAAAGAACUUAUAACAUGGUAUAUUGGGAGGAUGGCAGGGCUUGGUAAGUGGUAGCAACGCAGCUGGUAGAUUUUUCUUUGUUGUGUCCUUGUCCUUACGCUCUUUUAGCCACAUUUUCAUUCAGGAUUCUUGGGUUGGAAGCAACAGAAAUGGACUCUUUUGGCCUUAAGCAAAAAGAAAAUUUGUUGAAAGGGCAUGGAGGAGUUCAUAGGAUUGACUAGAAGUUUGGAGAAGUAGGCUCAGGAGUCAAGGCAUUUAUAGAGGAGGGUAGGGUAGAGAGGUGAUAAAAAUAAUGCAACGGUCUUAUUUGGAAAUUGUACUGGAAUGUAAGAGUUUCAUCUUUCCUCCUCCCUCCCUCUCUCUCUCUUUCUGCCACUUCAUUCGAGAUUCCAAUUUCAGCGAAGGAGCAUCCAAUUGGCCUGUCUUGGUCAGAUUCCCACCACCCCCAUGGUUAGGGGAACACAGCAUAUUCGAAAUGGCAUUCCCACGAGGUACAUUCCAUGGAAAAGUAAUACCACAAAGAAAAUAUGGACACAGUUAUCAAAGGAAGAUAAAACAGGUGCUGGGUAGCCAACAAUAGCCUAUUUCCACUAUAUCCUUUAAAAAAAAUCCCAGUAACUCUUCUAUGAUUACUGAUUUUUCAGGAGAGAAAUUUAACGAUGGAAGAGUGUAUACAUAGUGAUGAAAAGAAUGGGAGGAUUUAUAAGAUACAAGUCAUUUUCUUUGAGUUGUGGGUCAAUGGUUGGGUCCAUUUUUCUUCUGUUGUUUUUUCCUAUAGAGCACAUUUAUAACCUUUUAAAAGUAAACUAUGUUUUCUACUUUAAGAUGAGUGAAAUGAGGGGGGAGUGUCCUUUUGACUGGGGACAUAGUCACUAGUUACUCUAUGUUAAUAACAGAAGCAUACAUUCCUCUCGAGGGGCAACAGUGUUCUUUUACAUUAAACUCUCAACAGAAACCAAAAGAACCACCACCAAAAAAAUCCCACCCAGUUUGGAAAGGACUUGUGCUUGUGGGUCGGGGGCAGAAGGAAGCAAUUUCCCUCCAUUUUCUGCCUGAGCAGGCCUUUUGCACUUUGAUAUUCGUUUCACUAAUAAGGUGUUUCAUUAUUUCUCCCACAAAAAGAGCUGGUGCUGUUAUGAGAUGCUGUUGAAGACUCUGGUUUGCCCAGAUGUGCCGCAGUGAAAACAGCCUUUCUCUGACGUGCAUGACUUGUGAGGAUGAUGGGACCUGUGGGAAGAGGGGAUCCUUUUUCAGAGUUUGGAAAGAGAGACAAAAUAACGCCAUCUGCCCUGCAUGGCUGACAGAAACACAUUCUUCCCUAAUCAGUGGGUCACUCACUUCCGCACUAUGUUGCAGGGAAGCAUCAUCUGAUUCCAAGCCUAAGGCUGGGUCAUCCGCGGCACUGACUUCUCCCGACCCUUCUCCGAGCUUCCUGUGCCAGUUUUCAUCAUCAAAUUUCUCUGCUCCCUUAGACCAGCGGAAAAGAAGUUAUGAGCUCUCUCCAUCAUUCGCCGGUCUCUUCGGCCCUUCCUCCUUUGAAGUUUUCUUAUUCGGGGUCUUUUUUCGCUUCUUCUCCAUGUUUCAUCCUCUCUCACUGUAACCUUUUUAUCUCUGGAGAGUUCUCUCUGUGCCUCUGGGCCCUUCUCUUUCUAGUUGGUUCUCAGAACCCAUUCUGGGAUUCUAUUUCAGUCCAUCCGUCUCUCCAACAGACCACGGGUGAAACCAGGGCCGGUAAUCAGUCCCAGCUGCUGGAGGCGUCCGCUCUGGGUCGGCCCCACGUUUGUGGGCUGAUGUUUUGCUUCCCAUAAUGCUCUGGGAGUACUGCUGCUCAGAGCUUGGCUUGUGCUUUUUCUUCUCCUGCCAAGGGGCCCUGCUUCCAAAACCCAGAUUAGAAAACAUGGGACGUUAAAAAAAAAAAAAAAAAGAAUUUGUCCUAUUUCGCAUUUCCUUUUCCAACAGCAGAGUUCUUACACUUUGAUAAUUUCAGAGUGAGAACACAAAUUAAGCGGAUCGGAGGGGAAGGGCUCGUUGGAGAGAAACCCUCUGUCCUUUGAGCCGUCUUGCUGCACCCUGUACGCCUUCCUAGCUCUUCUCGCUCUGUUUACGCCACCACGCGUCACCCUCCAGCUAGAAGGCUUUGGAGGACAGGGACUCCGUCUCCCAGGUCCAUGCAUAGAGUAAGGAUCCAUAUGAAGAUUUUUUCUGUCUGAAGAUUUUUCUUCAGGCAGAGCCCCCCCCCCCCCCCCGAAUGUGUCCUGAGACCGUAGCUGGUUUCAACUGAGUCCAGCUGAGAGGAGCCACGCUGAGGGGGAGGCAAGCAGAGGACAAUGCAGGAUAGGAGGAGGAGGGCAGCAGCAUGUGGCCCGCAGAAGUCAGGACUAGAAGGAAAGCUGCUGAAAUAGAACCAGAGCGAGAGUCCCAUUAGUCCUCCCAUCUUGGACAACGUGGUCAUUUCCUUCAAAUCUCCCCAUUCUCAGGGACAGAAAAAAAUGGUAACGACAAUGAUAAUAGUAGCUAAUAACUGAUACUGAUCUCACCUUGCAGGAACUGUUCUAAAUGCUUUAUACUUACUAACCCAUGUUGUCUUCACAAUAUUAUUUAUUUAUUUACAACCCGCAGUUGCAGCAUAUGGAAGUUUCUGGGCUAGGGAUUGAAUUGGAGUUGCA